UACAGAGGGUGCUAGCGUUGUUCGGAAUCAUUGGGCGUAAAGGGCGUGUAGGCGGUUUGUUAAGUCAUGUGUGAAAUCCCUCGGCUCAACCGGGGAACGACGCAUGAAACUGGCAAGCUAGAGUACCAAAGAGGGGGGUGGAAUUCCCGGUGUAGCGGUGAAAUGCGUAGAUAUCAGGAGGAACACCGGUGGCGAAGGCGGUUCUCUGGGCCUUACCUGACACUGAGGAGCGAAAGCGUGGGGAGCGAACAGG
rnacentral:rRNA from 1 species